AGCUCCAAUAGCGUAUACUAAAGUUGUUGCAGUUAAAAAGCUCGUAGUUGGAUUUCUGUGUGAGAGGGACGGGAAGGCGCAAGCGUUUUUUCUGACCUUUUGCACAUCCUGUCGCAAACCACGGUGCUCUUCAUUGUAGUGUCGUUGGGGAUCGACUCGUUUACUUUGAGAAAAAUAGAGUGUUCAAAGCAGGGUAUGCCUCUGAAUAAGUUAGCAUGGAAUAAUGAUAAAGGACUUCGGUUCAUUUUGUUGGUGUUUGGGACUGAAGUAAUGAUUGAUAGGGACAGUUGGGGGCAUCAGUAUUCAAAAGCGAGAGGUGAAAUUCUUAGACCUUUUGAAGACUAACCGCUGCGAAAGCGUUUGCCAAGGAUGUUCCCU
rnacentral:rRNA from 1 species